ACAGAGACUGCAAGCGUUAUUCGGAUUCACUGGGCGUAAAGGGUGCGCAGGCGGCCAAGUGUGUCAGGUGUGAAAUCCCGAGGCUUAACCUCGGAACUGCGCCUGAAACUACUUGGCUAGAGUACUGGAGAGGGUAACGGAAUUCACGGUGUAGCAGUGAAAUGCGUAGAUAUCGUGAGGAACACCAGAGGCGAAGGCGGUUACCUGGACAGUUACUGACGCUCAGGCACGAAAGCGUGGGGAGCAAAAGGGA
rnacentral:rRNA from 1 species